UACGUAGGGUCCGAGCGUUGUCCGGAAUUAUUGGGCGUAAAGGGCUCGUAGGCGGUUUGUCGCGUCGGGAGUGAAAACACGGGGCUUAACCCCGUGCCUGCUUCCGAUACGGGCAGACUAGAGGUAUGCAGGGGAGAACGGAAUUCCUGGUGUAGCGGUGAAAUGCGCAGAUAUCAGGAAGAACACCGAUGGCGAAAGCAGCUCUCUGGGACGGUACUGACGCUGAGGCGCGAAAGCCAGGGGAGCAAACGGG
rnacentral:rRNA from 1 species